UAACAGAUGGAAAGAACCUCAUUGGCCA
rnacentral:piRNA from 1 species